rnacentral:rRNA from 1 species
UAGGGAUAAAAUACCUUAUAUUUAUAAAGAAACAUAGUUUUGCUCUUAGAUAUUAAUUAUCUCGUGUAGUAUUAGUUAAAGUAAAAAUUUAACUAGCUUAAUACACGUAGUCGUAACUGAGAGGUUGAUCGACCACAAUGUGGCCUGAACAAAGCCCAUGACUUGUUUACAGCAGUGAGGAAUAUUGGUCAAUAGCCUAACGGCUGAACCAGCAACUUGGAAGAAUGUAUAGCAAUAGCUAAUUGUAAAUUCAUAACGGGUUAAACAGGGGUAAUUUACAGUAUCGAGUGUAUCGACUAAAAUUCUAGGUAGAUUUAUGAUAAUGACAUUGUCUAUCUAUGUGUCUUGACCAAAUUGCGUGCCAGCAGUCGCGGCAAUACGCAGAAGACUAGUGUUAUUCAUCUUUAGUUGGUUUAAAGCGUACCUAGACGGUAUUUAUAGCCUAAAUAAGGUACUUUUUUACUAGAGUUAUAUGUGAAAGUGUAUUAAAGUACUGUUGAGUUUAGAGAUGAAAUUCUUUGACACCAGAUAAUUGGCACAGGUAAAGGCGAAAGCAUCACUUUAUGUAAUAACUGACGUUGAGGGACGAAGGCUUUGUGUCGCGAACAGGAUUAGAUACCCCAGUAGUCUUAGCAGAAAAUUAUGAGUGUCAUAGAUUAAAUUUAAUUUGAUCUAUAAAUGAAAGUGUAAGCAUUCCACCUCAAGAGUAAUUUGGCAACAUUGGAACUGAAAUCAUUAGACCGUUUCUGAAACCAGUAGUGAAGUAUGUUGUUUAAUUUGAUAACCCGCAAAAAACCUUACCACAACUUGAAUAUAAAUCAUGUAUUUUUACAAGCGUUGCACGGCUGUCUUCAGUUAAUGUCGUGAGAUAUGGCUUUCCAUAUAAUUAACAUAAACCCUUGCUCUUUUUUUUUAUAGAGUUAUCCUCCGUUAUAUUGG